rnacentral:rRNA from 1 species
GAUGAACGCUGGCGGCGUGCCUAAUACAUGCAAGUCGAGCGAAUGGAUUUAGAGCUUGCUCUUAUGAAGUUAGCGGCGGACGGGUGAGUAACACGUGGGUAACCUGCCCAUAAGACUGGGAUAACUCCGGGAAACCGGGGCUAAUACCGGAUAACAUUUUGAACCGCAUGGUUCGAAAUUGAAAGGCGGCUUCGGCUGUCACUUAUGGAUGGACCCGCGUCGCAUUAGCUAGUUGGUGAGGUAACGGCUCACCAAGGCAACGAUGCGUAGCCGGCCUGAGAGGGUGAUCGGCCACACUGGGACUGAGAAACGGCUCAGGCUCCUACGGGCGGAAGCAGUAGGGAAUCUUCAGCAAUGGACGAAAGUCUGACGGAGCAACGCCGCGUGAGUGAUGAAGGCUUUCGGGUCGUAAAACUCUGUUGUUAGGGAAGAACAAGUGCUAGUUGAAUAAGCUGGCACCUUGUCGGUACCUAACCAGAAAGCCACGGCUAACUACGUGCCAGCAGCCGCAGUAA